CCCUCGUGUUGCAAACUUGCAAUAAACCCAGCAAGGUCUGCAUUUGUUCGUCCUUGACGGCGACGGUUAGCCGGAGAUUUCUACGUACUACGUUUCCGUGAUAGGUGUUUCAUUCGUCAGAUGGAAGUAGAAGGACAAGAAUUGAAGAAAAGGAAGCAACUUGGCGAAGAUUCAAUGCACACUUCUAGGGAUUAUUGGCGAUCUCGCAACGGACCUCGCAAGUUUUUCGACCGUUAUAGCGUACCUAAAGGUUGGUUAUAUUGCCCUCCAUAUGGUGAUAAUAUAGGUCUUAUUAUCCCAUCAAAAGUGCCUCUAAGUGAGUCAUUCAACAAGAACAUCCCUCCUGGAGAAAGUUACACCCCAAAAGAAGUAAUCGACAGGCAAAGAUGUUUAGGGAGAGAAAUAGGACUGGUGGUUGAUUUGACAAACACUGACCGUUACUACCCAGAAUCGGAUUGGACCAGUCACGGUAUUAGACAUGUUAAGAUUCGAUGCCCGGGGCAGGACUCUGUACCUGAUGCCGAGUCCGUAGAUAGAUUUAUUUCUGAGGUUGUGCAAUUGACAUCUCAAGAAUCUCAAGCAAGUAAGUAUGCUGUUGUCCACUGCACUCAUGGUCACAACCGAACAGGCUAUAUGAUUGUACAUUUUCUCGUACGUAAUCAGUCAGUUAGUGUUAAUGAGGCAAUAGCAACGUUUGCCCAAGCACGCCCUCCUGGAAUUUAUAGACGGAAGUAUGUUGAAGCGUUAUAUGACUUCUAUUUUCAAUCAAAGCCUGAGCUUCUUGUUUGUCCCGAAACUCCCGAAUGGAAGAGAGACUCUGAUCAAGAUAAUGAAGUUGUUGCUCCUUCUGGGAAUCUUGCAAGAACAGAUGCUGUGUCAGAUGCAGAUUUUAAGGGCGAAUGUAUCCCAUUCGCUGAGGUUCAGAGGAUGAGGAACUUCUGCUAUCUAGUGCUUAAUUUGCAUGUACAGGCCACGAGAAAUACCCAAAUUCCAGGAUCACACCCGGUCUCUCUCGACAGGGACAAAUUGCAUCUUCUAAGCCAGCAACUCUACCAUGUCACUUGGAGUGCUGGGGUGCCACGAUGCAUGAUGCUAAUAGACAAGGAGGAUUGUUAUUUGAUUGAUCCACAGUUCUAUUUCAGGAAGGUCCAGUUGCGAUUUCCUCGCAAACAUAUCUAUGAGGGUAGAGCUGACAUUACUCAUUGCUGCACGUUACUUGAUGGUGAAUUGAUUACUGAGACUGAGCCUGAGACACAAGUGAAGAAGACUAUUUACCUCAUCUAUGAUAUGAUGGCAUUUAAUGAAUCCUCUGUUACAGAGCUACCUUUCCAUCAUCGAUUAAGGCUAAUUGAAGAAGAGGUGAUCCGUCCCCGAAACUUUGAACGUGAUUUUUUAUCCACGUGUGUAAAUCCGUACCACCACUAUGGCCUGGAACCAUUUGAAGUGAGGAGGAAGGAUUUCUAUUUGCUAUCUGCAGCUUCUAUGCUCAUAAAAGAUACAAUGCCAAGUCUUCCACAUUCAUCUGAUGGGCUUAUCUUUCAGGCCUGGAAUGCAACUUAUGCGCCCCGGGAUCAUGAUGGACGUUUGAAAUGGAAAUAUCCUGGAACAAAUACUGUUGAUUUUCUAUUUGAGGUGGGAGUUGAUGGUAGUAGUUUGCUUUAUCUGCAAGAACACGGAAACAAGAAACUAAUUGAAGGUUGCAGAGUGAUGUUUAAAGAUGGAACUGAUUUAUCGUUGUACUCUGGUAGAAUAAUCGAGUGUUCCUGGAACUCUCAUGAAGAUGCUUGGAUCUUUGUGCAGAUCCAAACAGACAAAUCAAACCCAGAUUAUAUUAGUGUCUACGAGGAGGCAAAGCACAACAUAGAGGGCACUCUUACAGAGGAUACCUUGUUAGAUGAGAUAGAUAUAGUCGCAGGUCUACCUGUAUACUCUGACUGGGCAAAUCGUCACAGUGGAACUUUUAGAAAUGUCUGGAGAAGGCAGUGAGGAAUUUGCUGCGAUAUGUUUGUUCCCCAAUACAUCUUCUCUUUUUCACCAUUGAGGGUUGGAGUUGAGAGACGGAGGAGGAGGUUAUAGUCUAGUUAAAAAUGACUGCAGGUUCUUUGCAGUCGUCAUUCAUCAUUCAGGGGUACAAGUAUUGGGCAUUAAAUUUUUGUUUGCUCAGUCCAUCAGAGCUCUGGGAAUGUCAAGGAAAAUAUCAAAUAAGAGGUCUAAGUGGUGAUUGGAAAAUUUUCUAGGAAAGGUAAGCGCGAAAUAGUAAUAUGUUCUGAUUGUUCUUUUCUUUCAAAUUUAGUGUUCAAAGUAGAGCCUUGUUGUGAUUUUGUGUAUCUACUGUAAGAUGUGGUAAAUGGACAUAUGUAG